CCCGUGCUACAACCGCACUGACGAGGUUCAAGUAUCUUUUAGAUCACCUUUGAAGGCGAGUCUGAGUCUAUUG
rfam:Kurthia sp. 11kri321, complete genome.